GCCGUGCCAUCGCCACAUAGCUCUUGCCUGCAGUGUGACUAGUCUGUAACACCACACUAUGAAUUAAUAUAAAUAAAAGCAAGUAAGGAGCAUCCAUUGCAGUCACUUAAUUUGCUAUAGAAAUAUGUUUCAUCUUUUAUAUAUAUAUAUGUGUGUGUGUGUUACAAAGACGGGGAAGUUUCAACUAGUAACUCAUUGAUUGAGAAAAAUAUGUUACCAAACCCGAAUCGCACGUUUUUAUUCCUUUACAAGUUGGUAAAGAAAUAGGACAACCGCUUUGGACGACUUUAAUUAGUGUUGAGUAAACAUGAUUAAUUAGCCAUGUCCAAUUGUGUGGUCUCAUAAUUAUUCAUCACAUAUAGUUCUUUUAAUAAAGCACGAAAGAGAUGGUGCACAAAAAUUCAAAGUCAAGCAAAGAAUCAAAUUGCAUAGGUUUGGAUGAUACUACUUUGAUGAAGAAAUUAAAGGGAUGGAAAUUAUACUUUUCUACAUUUCAAGUACUCAUAGGUCAAAAUGGUAGGAAGAUGAAGCUGCAAAGAGUUUAUGUUUAAUUAUAAUUAUUUAUAUUUAAUUAUACAAGAAUAUAUUCAUCAAACAAAUUUUCUUUUGAUUUUUGCACUCUUGAUAUAUAAUUUCAAAGGUUUUAUGCUGAUAAAAUAUGAGAUUAAUUCAGUGGUUCAACUGAUCCAAACAAAGCGAAUUUUGGUACAAUUAAUGUAAUAGAAAUUUUCUUAAACAAUAAAUGGAAAUCAAAUUAAUAGUAAAUUUCAUCAUCUAAUUGAUUUGGUUGACUUUCAACUAAGGUUUGAUUUAAUGAAUACAUAUAUAUAUAUAUAUAUAUAUAUAAUUUGAUUUUUCUACUAACAAUAUAUAUAUAUAUAUAUAUAUAUAUAUAUAUAUAUAUAUUAUUAUACAACUAAGCUCGGUGCUUAUUUGAUUUUUCUGAUGCAGAAAGAACUUUUGUAGAGUAAAAGAAAAUUGAUUGAUAGUUUGAUAGAAGAAAUACAGUCCAUAUAUAACAAGGCACUUGCUAUUUGGGGUGCCCUAGAAUUUUUGGCAAUUGAUGAGGAAUUAGUAUAGAAUCAAAAGCCUAUUACUUAAACUCGGAAUAAAUGUAUAUACAUACUCCCCAUUGAGUGUUCGUUUCUUUGAUGAUCUAAGGAGUUGAUAUCAGUCAUAUAUUUUAUAAAAGCUCUUAUAUUGUUCUUGCUCAAAUUAACUUUAAAUUAUUUACUUGUAAAAUGAAUUAUUAUUAAUGUUAAGUAGUCAUAAUUCCUCCUUUUUUUUUUCUUUUUCUUUUGUCUUCUUCAUAAGAAGAAACAUGGCUAAUUAAAGCUCAAAACUCAAUUUUGUUAAUUUUUAAUAUUCUUCUUGGAUUAUCUUCUUCUGAGAUUUAGAGAUAUUUGAUUUGUUAUCUGUAUUUGAUGUUGCCAUGGGUUUUUAUCUUUUUGAAUAAUUUAAGUUUAAUUUCAAUAGGAAUUCUUUAUCUAGAGAUGUAGGUUUUUUAAAAUGUGUUUGAGAAUGUUUUUAUUUAAAAAAAAAUUAGUUAAAUGUUUUUUAUAGAAGUGUUUUUUAGAAAAUUACCUAUCAAGUGCCUCUUCAGAAAGCAUUAUGAGUGAUUUUUUAAUUUUUUAAUCGCAAUGGGCUAGAGUUCUUCUCCCAUAGUGGUUGUUGCAUUGCCCCUAAUGUAUUCCCCCCAAUACAUAUGAGGUCUCUCAAGAUGACAAGUAAUAAAAGAUACAAACUAUUCGCAAACUCCUUAUGCAGGCUUCCCUCCUUGGUGGAAUAUCAUGAGGCUUGACCAAGGAGUUUAUGUGAUUCCCUUUUGUCAUGCGGGAGUAUCCUAUGCUCUAGAUAUUUUAGGAGAGGAGUUCUCUAGCCUUUGGUAUUUGACUCUUCACUAUUUACAUAAAAAAUUGUUAGGUCAUCUCUAUAAAUGUUGAGUCUUUCUCGGUAUUUCAUGUUGAUAGAUCGAUGCUCUUCAAUGGUGCUAAGAAUUGCUAGGUUGGCCAAUAGAUUAAUGGGUACAUUGUUUUCCCUCAAUAUUUGCUCAAUUUGGAAGUUAUCAAACCACUAGCUUCCAAUUUGAGUUAGGUUAGGUAUGCUUCCAUUCAUUCAUCUUUGGCUUUAUAUUGGGUUAAAACUUGGCAAACCAUGAAUUUAUAGUCAAAAUAGACCUAAAGCACUUAUGAGCUUUAAGUAGGUGCAUGGUUUCUAACCUAUAAAGAAGGGCCUUAUACUCGGCUUCAUUAUUGGAUGCUUUGAAACCUAAUGCAAUACUUUUUUCAAUGAUCCCACAUGGAGUUUCUAAAUGAAUUCGAUGUUAGCACCCUUUUAACUAGAGGUUUUAUCCACAUAUAGGCUCAUAUGGAGGUUGUAUACAAUAGAUAGCAAGUCACAGGCCCGAGUUCUUAGUGUCUCAUUUUUAUUUACAUAGGGAUCAAUAGGAGCGCAGUUGACUCAAUGUAGUGGGAUGUUGAGUCAACUUCAAAUUGGAUUCUAAAGGAGCCAAGACUGUCCUAUGGGUCCUAGUGGUCCCCGCUUGAGCUCAUAUACCUUGUUGGGACAGUUUAUGAGGGUUUGAUCGACUCUUGGUUCACUUAUGUGUAUAAGGGUGUUUUGGUAAUUUCGUAAGGUUGCAUAAGAGUUGGUGAACAACAUCUUUAGAUUGGCUUGAUAGAUCGAUUAGACAACCUUAUUUGAUUAAUUAAUCAAUUAUAACCCCUUUAGCUGGAUCAAGUGAUCCAAGCCUAUGGGCUCAAGUCACUUAAGCCUAGUAAGGAUCCUAUAAAUAGCCCCUUAAAGGUUAAGGUUUAAAGUUUUUUCUUCUAUUCAUUCUUUGAAUUUCAAAUAGGGAGUCCUAAUCUCUACCCUCCAAACUUUCACCAUUUGAGUGCCAAGCUUCAAAAUUGAGUCAUCAGGUGGAAGAUCAUGGGUCUACGAGACUUCCAACGACUUCAUUUUGUUCUUCACCAAAAGAAAACAAUUUGGGAAUAUCAAUUGUAAGCACACUAAAUUGUUUUUCAAAAUCCUAUAAAUUUUUUUGAAUGCAUGUAUUCCAAUAUGCAUAGGAUUUAAAAAAGCCUAAGAAGAAAUACAUGUACCUAACCUAAUCCUAAGAUAGGGAAUAGAGCAAUCCAAAAUUCCCUUUAAGAUGUUGGAAUGCAGUUAACUCUCUAUGGAAGAAUGUUGAAUCAACUUCAAAAUUAGAUUUUGAAUGAGCUUCUAUAUCUUUUAUGGCUCACAGUAGUUCCUACUUAAGCUCACACUCCCUGAUGGCAUAUUAUUUUGAGGAAUAAUUUGGGUUUCAAUUUAUAUGUGUGCAUAAGGGUAUUUCAAUAAAAAUGUAAGGUUGCACAAGGGCUUAUAAAUUGUCUUUCUAUAAUCAAUUAAUUAACUAAUUGCAAUCUAAUAAGACUAAUUAAUAAAUUACAACCCAGUGAGUUAGAAUAAGCAAUGCAAGCUCGAGAUAGGCUCAAAUCACUUAAACUUACAAAGAGUCUUAAUAAACACUCUUGUGAUUUAGGGUUAGACAAUCUAGCUUAUUAUUGUCUUCUAGAGAGAACCCUAGCCCCCUGACCGAACUUCUCUAUUGUACCAAAAUAAUUAGUCUUUUUACAUAGCAACUUUGGUCAAGAAAAACUAGAGAAAAAGUCACUACGAGUUUUGUAGUACUCUGGGUAUCAUUCUCAGGGACCGGCUUAUGAAAAUUGUCAAUACUAGAAUAAAUGAAUUGUUUUUGUUUAAAUCCUAAAGUGAAAAACAAUUUGGUAAUUAUCUUUUAUGAAAUGGGAUUGAGUGAAUGAAACUAAAUUAAAAACAAAAUGAAUAUUGAUUUUUAAUUCAAUCAAUUCAAGUUUGGGGCUUUCCACAAUUCAGCUUAAGUUAUAGAAAUAGAGAGAACAAGGGCUUCUUAAGUAAAGUGAUCUUAAGGUUUUGGGAUCCUUGGCCGCUCGGGAUCAACUUGAGUUCUAUAACUCAAAAUUGCAUCCGAAACCUAAUUUUUCAUUUUUUUAAACAAAUUCCUAAAAUCAUCAAAUGAAUGAGAUUGAUUAUCGGUUUAAGAUUUGGCUUUUAACCCUUCCUACUCCUUAUAGCUUUGUUUCGGGGCAAUAACGAUAGGGAAGACGAGGAUAACUAAUGAUAAAAAAUUGCCAAGAAUCACUAGUAUCGGGUAAUAACCUACUGUAUCAUUCCCCAAACUAACUCACAAGGAUAGGAUAAAAAAAUUGAUAAAUUAUCACUCAACCAAUAAUUAAUCUCAUUGUUAUAAUAAUUUACCCAUUGUCCCUAUAGGUUUCCUAGCCCUUAGGUUUUCCUGCUUCAAGCCCCAAGUUGGCUUCUUAGCUUCUCAUGGGGGUGAUGUCACAUUCACAAUCCAUAAUAGGGUAAAAAUCCAUAAUUUGAAUCAAAAGAAACUAAAAACAAUAUAUUUAAUAAAGAAGAAAGAGAAAACAAACCAAAGUUCUCAUCUUCUUCCAUCUUCAAUGUCAAACUCUCCAGAAAAAAAAAAUUUGAAGAUCCUUAAAACCUAUAACUAAGAGAGUUUAUAUAAUAUCAUCAAUUACCUAACAUAUGGCACGCUCUCAUUGGCCACUUAUUAUAAAAUAAUUACCUAAAAAUGAUUAAAAAGUAAUAAAAUUAUGAUUUAUUAUCGUGUGGGGUCCAUUUAGAGCGAAUGAAAUGCCCUAGAUGCAAUUCCCGAGGUAGAGAAGGCAAAACAUCAAAGUGGUAGUGGUUGAAUUCGAAAUUGGGGUCACUUCGAAUUGGAUUUCGAAUUCACAAGUUGGAUUUCGAAAUGGUCCUUCAAUUUUGUACAAUUAUCUUCAAAUGGUCAUAACUUCUUCAUUUCAACUCUGAUUGCACACCAUUUAAAGCAUUGGACUCUUGACUUCCCGAACUUCUAAACAAUAUAUGGUGUGUAUAAAAUGGACUCUAGAAAGUUCUCAAAUUUUGUCCUUAAAUUUAUAGUAUAUGUUGCCACCAGGUUUUGAGUUUUAAAUUUCCAUAUAGUUGAAUCUUGAUUCAUGCCUUUCCCAUGUUUUCUUGCCUUCUUUCUUACUCCACAAUGGUCAGUUCUCGUCUUGCAAACUCAUGAUAUCCUCAUCUUGCAUUUCAUCAUGGUCCAUGAGUCUUGACUCACUUAUUUCCUUAUUUAACCCUUUCUUGAUCUUUUAAAAUCUAAAGUGAUUCAACUCACACCAUUUUCUUCCCUUGAACCUGAGAUAAAUCUUCAAAAUACAAGUUAAACUCAUGGUUAGGGCCUUAGCAUCGAUUCAGGUCAAGUUGGGUGAUUCAAAUGUCCUUUGGUGCACAAAUUAUAUUGAAUAUGUGCCAUUAGAGCACAUAUUUUGGCUCCAAUCACCCUCAUCCCUCUAAAGAGAAUUCACCCUUCUCCAUUGCUAAGAUCCAAGGAAGAAUCAUUAAUUGAAAGAUCUUUAGGUCAUUGAGAUAGUUCUUCAUCAAUUGGAAUAGACAUGGAAACAUCCAAAUCUUAGCUAUGUGAUCUUUAUUAUUUUUUAUUACCUUUAAUAAAUUUUAAAGGCCUAUCAUUAAUUCAUAUUGCACUUAGGAUCUUAGUUGCAUGCACCCUUAAGAGAUCCAAGGCUUGGAUUAGGUUUAUCCAAGAAUCCAACAAGUAGGCUUUUUCUAUUGUUUUGUUGCUUUCUGCCACAUACUUUCAAAGGUGGUUGGAGGUAUGUUUUUAGCGACAAUUGUUAGAUAAUGACUCCUUUAGAGGUUAUCAUAUAUUAAGGUCCCCAUUUUUGGGUUGGUGAAUUUUUGGAUCUUCAAUCCUUAUACCAACAUGUUGUAUUAUCGGCUAAAGCUAGCUAGUUCUCUUUUUCUAGCCUCUGAAUCAAGCUCUUUCACUCCUAAAAUCCUAUAUUGCUUCUUUUUUACCAAUUCAUAAUAUAUUCAAACUAAAUCUCAUGCUCAUGGUAUUGCCCACCCUAUGAUUACUCAAUCCAAGAAAUUGUACUUAUUUAAGACUAAAGUCUACUUGACUAUUAAUUUUACCAUUGUGGAGCCUAGCAAUAUGCAAGAAGCUUAACAAAGUCAUCAUUAGAGGGAAGCUAUGGAACAAGAGUACACUGCCUUAAUUAAAAACAAAACCUAAUCUCCAAUUCAAAAGUUAAUUGAUAAAAGGAUAGUUUGUUGCAAAUGGGUAUUCAAAAUCAGAAGGAAUCCUAAUGAGACUAUACAAUAAUACAAGACACAAUUGAUGGCUAAAAGAUAUCAGUAAUCUCUUUGUUGUAAUUUCAUUGAAACCUUCAAUCUAAUGGUUAAACCUACAACAAUUCAUGUGGUGCUAAUAACUUUAGAUAAAAAUUGAGAGAUCAAACAAUUGGAUAUGAAUAAUGCACUCUUGAAUGAGAUCCCCCAAGAAUUAUAUUUAUGGAUCAAUCUCCAAGGUUUGAACAACAUGAUUAAUAGGAACUUCUAGUACACAAGCUACAUAAAGUACUAUGUGGCUUGAAACAAGCCUCACAAACUACGUUUGACAAUCUUAGAUCAUCACUACAAAACUUAAUCUUAUCUUCUCAAGUUUUCUUUUCAUUCUAUUAUUUACAUACAUUUUACACAUGUAGAUGACAUCCAGAUAACUAGUAGCAAUUCUAUAGAGAUUCAAAGCCUUAUUAUCCUCUUGAAUAAAAACUGCUCUCUUAAGGAUGUUGGGUCCUUUAACUACUUAGAAAUUAAGGUAAAGAAACUAGAAAUUGGAAGUUUACUUUUUUCUUAAGGAAAAAAUAUAACAGAACUCCUACAUAAAGCUCAUAUGGACUUGGAGCCAUUUCCACUCCAAUAAUGUGAACUCUACAUAUUGCUUAUGAUGGUGACUCUAUACAGAAUCCAACACUCUACAUAUAGGAACCAAGUGCAUGCAUGUAGUAUGUAACUAUUACUAGACAAGAGAUUACCUAUAGUGUAGAUAAGGUAUCUUAAUAUAUGCAACACCCUUCAUAUUUCCAUUGGAAAGUUGUAAAGAGAAUCCUAGGUAUCUAAAGGGGACUAUUGAUUUUGGAAUUCAUUGGCAUCAAAUCCACAUAAUAGAAAAUCUAAUCUAGAUUUUGUAUCUUUCUUGGCAACAAUCCUAUCACCUGGAGAUCAAAGAAGGAAACUAAAAUCUCAAGAUCAAGCACUAAGGUUGGAUAUAGAAGCCUAGCUAAUGCUAUAGAAAAAAUGGUUUGGCUUCAAUUCUUCAUCAAAGAACUUAGAAUUCCAUAAACCGAAGUUCCAAUUCUCUAGUGUGACAAUCUAACUUGAAAAGCUGGAUCUCAAUAGUGGAAUACACCUAGGGGGGAGGGGUGGGUGAAUAGGUGUUUUGACCAAUUAAAAAAAAAUCUCAACUCAAAUUAGCAAACCUUGAAAUUUUUUGUAUAUUUUUCUUUUCUUCACACAUUCUCAAAAACACAACUUAUAAAUCACAUGCAUAUAUGAAUGCAACAACACUCCCCAACAAUAUUAAAAUGCAAUUCACAUGCACAUGAUCCAACACUCCCAAACUCAAAUCAACUUAAACUAAAUUUAAAUAAAAACAAGAUCAAUAAACCUCAAAACGUUAAUGAUCAACAAUCAAAAACAACUUCAAUAGUUGAUUCAUAGCCAUUUUUCUUCAUCAUUCAAUCAAAUAGUAAACAAUCAAAACUCUAAUAAAUUGUUGAAACUGAAAACUGAUGCUAAGAAAAGAAGGAGAGACAAUGAGACAAUUGAUAAUAGAUUUUAACGUGGAAAACCUCUGAAGAUGUCAAAAACCACGGGCCUACAACCAAUCAAAAACAUCUACUAUCAAAAAUAAAAACUGAAUACAAGGUUUUACCUAGCUUAAGCGAACCAAUCUUUCUCGUACCACUUGACUAGUACCUUUCACUUUUAGUUUCUCACCUUCUUCUUCCGAAGCACACUUGGAGUCCACACCAAGCUCGAUCUCGGCCUCUUCUUGAAUCCUCAUAAGAAGAAAAUGGGUUUUUGCUCAAAACCAAGAGAAUGAGAUAUGAGUGUUUCAAAAAUCAACCCAUGUUCAUUUUCAUAAAAUCCCAAACAAAAAAGAUUCUUGAAAAACUUAUGGGAUUUUCUUAGGAGGCAAACUUCCUCAAAAUGGGAAUGAAUGAAAAGUUCUCUCACGACUGCUUCUCUCUUUUUCCAAAAAUAGGAGAAAGUUUAAUUUUAAAUGAGAAUGAAGCCCUUAAUCUAAGGGCUGAAAAUUGAUCUUAAAAACAGGUUAGUUGGAUCAAUCUUUCCCUACACUUGGAUCGAUCCAAGAAAAAGGUGAACAAAAGUCUUUCAUCAAAAAACAUUUCUCCCAGCUUUCUUAACUCUUUUAAAGAUGAAAAACAUGGUUGAUUCACAUUCAAUCACCACACACUCGACUACAUACCUUGGCCUCUUAGCAAAGUUUUAAUCUUCAAAGUCAAGUAGUCCGAAGAGGAAUUGAAAAUUCGAGUUAGGAUACACUUAGGAAUUUUGUCCAAAAUUGCCAACCUAGCUAAACACUUACAAUCUCCCUCUUUGGUAACUUUCUCGACUACACAAGAUAUAGUCCAGUGACAAGCACAAAAAGUCUUAGCCAGCAUAGACUAUGCAGAAGACAAUUUCCAACAGCACUAGUGCACCAAAAAGAGACACACAGGUCGACAACACGAGUUGAACAACACGACAAUUCUAAGCUAUUCGACAAGGUUGUCCAACAAGAUUUCCCAAACCUAAAACGCUCACCAAUUAGGGACGUCCAACAACAAAGGUUUCUAAUGGUAGAGACUUACGACGGCAGUGGUUGAAAUGAUGGACCGACGAUGAUGGCUAAAGAAAAGCACAAAGUAGAGAAGUUCUCUUUUCUAGAACAAAAGGCCUAGGGCUUUUGAAUGAAAUGAAUUGGGAAAAAUUGAUUUGGGGAUUUUGACUUUUUCAAAUUUUUUUUUAACUUUAAAUUAUGAAAAUACCCCUUAGCCAUUAAACCAUGUGUAUAACUAGUCGAUGGCAAAAAUGGAAUUUUUACUUUUUCAAUUUUUUUUAACUUUGAAUUACAAAAAUACUCCUCAUCCAUUAAACCAUGAGUAUAACUAACUGGGAGCAAAACUAGAAUUUUUCACAAGUGCAUAAGUGGUAUCGAUCUUGGUAAAUCAAUCCAGUUUUCGAUUGUGAGCUCUUGGUGAUACACAGUCACACAAGUUUGAACAAGCCAAAUUAGAAAAAAAAAAAAAAAAAGGCUAAGUAUGUGAGAGACAAUGAAUAAAUGGUAUCGAUCUUGGUGGAUUGAUCCGCGAUUCGUUCAAGAGCUCUCGGUCACAAGACUGUGCACAUUGUGGAUCGAUCCAAAAAUUUAGCAGAUCGAUCGACACCUUACUGAAAAAUGACUUAGGGAAAAACUAACGAAAAUCACAAGAAACACACCGACAAACUUUCCAAAAAUUGAAAAUUGAUCCACCAAAGCUGAGAUACAAUAGGAUGACAUACUUAUCUUUCAAUCAAUGAGUUAGAAUUGAUUCAUAUUGAACAAAAAUGCUUCCAAGAACUUAACAAUAGACAAAAUUAACUAACAUAGAGAUUGAAGAACCUUCCAAAUUUAUCAAUUGAAUGGGUAAAAAAAAAAAUGAUUAUCAACACUCUAGCAAGUAAGCUUAAGCUCAAAGAAGACUCACUCAUAAUACCAUAAAAUAGUGAGAAUGUUAAUUUCUUUCUAGUUAUGAACAUAUAUCUAUCCGUAAGGCAAAAAUCAUUUUUAAGACACUUUUCCUUCUUAGAGAAAUUCAAGAUAAUGCUCCAAGAAAUCAAUUUGCACCUCUCUUGGCUAGAUUUCUGUUUAACACGGCCCAUUUACAUCCCUUUAACAAAGUUCAUACCUCAUUUGUUUUUCACAUUUAGCAUUGAACGAAAUACAAAGAUAUAGGUUUUACCCUUAAAAUCUUUUUAUUUUUAUUUUUAUUUUUUAUUUGAGGAUCUCUAAGAAUGCCUUUACAAUAUUACAACAUAAGGGAUGUCCCAUUUUUGUAAUUGAGGCUUUUUAACUCUUGGAACAUUGCCAAUGAGCCAUAACCAUUCUAGGAAAUUUCAUAUUUUCUUUUUCUUUUCUUUUCUUUUCCAAUUUUUUUCAUACGUAAUUUUAAAAAGAGGGCAAACAAUCAAAGAACGAUCAUCUCAACCACUCAAGGAAUUUCCAGGUGAUUUUACUCACUCUUUAAUGUUCAUUAAAUAAGUAUAAGUUCACAUUUAGACUUUAAAAAGCAUUAUUCACCAUUUAUGCAAUCACAAGGUUCAACCAUGAGCUUUUACUCACUUAAAAUAAAUGAAGCUAAUAUUUUGCAGUUUAUCUAAUCAAAUCAAAAUAGCAAGGAUUCAAUAUCAUGUUUAUCAAUCAAGCCAUGGAGAUAAAGACAUCUUGAAGCUUUUAAGAUCAUUAUGAGUCAAUCUAACUUUUGAAGAAAAGAAUAAUCAUGCCACUCUCAUGAACUCAGCAAUUGUUGAAAAUUAAAAUAUUGAACCAAAAAAAUAAAAAUAAAUAAAAAAUAUUAACUUGAUGACAUUUAGGAACUUAGGAAGACAACUAGGACUCGAGGAUAUGCAAGAGGAUGUCUUAGACAAGUUUUAGAGAAAGUCAACUGAGUGUGCAUAAACCUAUGGAUCUUCUAAGUGAUUCAAACCUAGACACAUCCAAAGGUUUAGUGAGAAUAUCAACAAUAUGACCCUCUGUUGGAACAUAUUCCAAGGAUACAACUUUGUCUUCAACUAAGUCAAGAAUAAACUGAUGCCUAAUGUCAAUGUGUUUUGUCCUAGAGUGAAGAACAUGGUUCUUGGAGAUAUUGAUUGUACUAGUAUUGUCACAAAAUACAACCAUGGUUCCUUGAUCUAUUCCAUAGUCUCUCAACAUUUGUUUGAUUCAUAGAAUUGAGAACAACAACUACCAGCAGCAAUGUAUUCCACUUCAGCUGUGGAGAGUGAAACAGAGUUUUGUUUCUUACUCAACCAAGCAACCAAGCGAUUUCCUAUAUAAAAAAACAAAAAAAAACCACCUGAAGUGUUUUUCCUAUCAUCCACAUUUCCAACCCAAUUAGCAUCAGUGUAGCUACAUCAAAAUGAGUAUUAAACAGAUACCAAAGGCCUAGCUCUAAAGUACCAUCAAUAUUGUACCUAAUGAUGUGCUUAAGAGCUAUGAGAUAAGAUUCCUUGGGACAUGCUUGAUACCUAGCACACACUCCAACACUAAAAGCUAUGUCCGGUCUACUAGCAGUGAGGUAUAAAAGGCUACCAAUCAUCAUUACUUAGCUUUAGGUUAAAAGGCAUUGGUGUCCUAAAGUGUUUGGUCGACUCAAGUCCAAACUUCUUGACAAGUUCCCUAGCAUACUUGGAUUGGGAUAAAAAAAUCUCAUCCUUGAGUUGUUUCACUUGAAAACCAAGAAAAUAGGUCAAUUCCCCUACCAUGCUCAUUUCAAACUUACUUUUCAUCUCUUUGGAAAAAUCUAAAGCACACUCACUAGAGGUAGAGUUAAACACUAUGUCAUCCACAUAGAUUUGUGCUACCAACAACACUUCAUCAUUUCUUCUAAUGAACAAUGUUUGAUCAGCUCCCCCUCUCAUGAAUCCUUUAUUAAGAAGAUAGGAUGUGAGUCUUUCAUGCCAAGCUCUAGGAGCUUGCUUUAAACCAUAGAGAGUUUUUCUAAGUCUUUAUACAUGAUUAGGAUACCUAAGGUCUUGAAAUCCUUUGGUUGCUCCACAUACUCUUCUUCAUUGAGGAUCUCAUUAAGAAAGACACUCUUGACAUCCAUUUGAAACAAUUUAAAUUUCCAUACACAAGCUACAACUAAGAGUAUUCGAAUGGAUUCAAGUCUUGCAAUCGAAGCAAAGGUUUCAUAAAAUCAAUUCCCCCAAUUUGCUUAAACCUUUGAGCAACCAACCUAGCUAUAUUCCUCACAAUCACACCAUUUUCAUCCAUCUUAUUUUUUGAAAAUCCAUUUUGUUCCAAUGACAUUCACAUCUUUUGGUCUAGGCACGAAGAACCAUACUUCAUUUCUAGAAAAUUGAUUUAGCUCUUCACGAAGAGCCUCUACCCAAGCUUCAUCAUUCAAGACUUCUUCAACAUUUUUUGGUUCAAUUUGGGAUGUAUAGCAAACAUAGCUAAUCUCAUUUAGCUCAGAUUGUCUCCUUGUUACCAUGCUAUCCUCAUAGUUCCCAAUCACAUUGCUUAAUAGAUGGUUCUUAGGUACCAUUGACUUAUUUUUCUUUGAUGGCUCGAUUCUCCCCCUAUCUCAUUUCUUUCCUUGUUUUUCUCUAUUUUCUUCCUCUUCACUUAACUUUUCAUCUUGAGAUAUUUCUUCAAUCAAUUCAAUCUCUUUUGACACAUCAAUUCUAUCAUCAUCACACUCUCUUGACCUUGAUCCUAGAUCAUCCACAAUCACAUUGAUUGAGUCCACCAUACAUUUUGAACUCAAAAUGUACACUCUAUAUGCCUAACUUUUGGUGGAAUAUCCUAGGAAUAUCCCUUCCUCACUCUUGGACUCAAACUUACCAAGAUUUUCAUGAUCUUUCAAGACAUAAUAUCUACUUCCAAACACCUUAAAGUACUUCACACUAGGUUUUUUUCAUUUCCACAACUCAUAACAAGUCUUCCUAGUAUGAGGUCGUAUGUGAAUUCUAUUGGAAGUAUGACAAGCUGUGUUGAUGGCUUCAGCCCAAAAAUAUGUACGAAUUUGUGCUGAUUUAGCAUUGUUUAAACCAUUUCUUGAGUGACAUGAUUGUUUCUCUCAACUAUCCAAUUUUGUUGAGGUGUUCUAGGAAAGGAAAACUCAUCUUUGAUUCCUAGAGAAUGACAAAAUUCUAGAAAAUCAGAAUUAUCAAAUUUUCUCCUCUUAUCACUCCUAAUUCUUUCAAUGGGAUACCUUUUUUCAUUUUGAAUUUUCAAAUCAAUGUCCUUGAAGUUUAUGAAUGUCUCACUCUUAUCUCCCAUGCAUACCUAGAAUAGUCAUCAUCCAUCAUCAAAAUGUAUUUCUUGUCUCCUAAACUCUUAGUUCUCAUUGGACCCAUGAGGUCCAUGUGUAAGAGUUCUAAAGGUUUAGAGGUCAAAAUUUCAUCAACUCUUCUAUAUGUACUCCUAGUUUGUUUUCCCUUUUGACAAGUACCAUAAAUAGGAUUAAAGGAUUUUCCAAGCUUAAGAAUCCCUUUGAUGACUUCAUUAUUAGCAACCUUCAUCAAGUCACGAUAAUUUAAAUGACCCAACCUACAGUGCCACAAAUCAAUUGAUUCCACUUUUGAACUACCACACACAAAAGAAGAAGAAGAAGAGGUAGAAGGAUUUUGACAAAAACAUAACAAUUAUCUGAAGUUCUCAAUCCAAUCAUCACACAAUUUCCAUUCAAAUCAAACACUUUACAUAAAUUUUGUGAAAAAUGAACAUUGAACUUCUUGUCACAUAUUUGACUAAUUCUAAUCAAGUUAGCUUCAAUCCUUCCACAUACAAGACUUCUUCAAGGUUAGGGAUUCCAGGAGCACAAAUUGUCUUUCUCUUUCACACUAGCAACAUUACCAUCACCAAAAGUCACAUUUCCUCCAUUAAAUUCAGUGAAAUUAGUGAAGAAUGAUCUAUUACCUGUCAUAUGACGUGAACAACCACUAUCAAAGUACAAUGAGUGUGAGUCACUAGCCCUAAGUGUAGUGUAAACACCAAGGCAAUUAAGUUCAUUCUUUUUCACUCAUAUUUUUUUGACACUUGUAACUUUGGUCAUUCCAUUAGAAAUGCUUCCUUGGAAACCACUAUGAUGAGGGACAUUUGAAUCUCUCUUGAAUACUCUCUUACCUCCUUGUAACAACCUAUUUCUCAAAGUGAAUGAUUCAUUCAUUAAGUUGGUCAACUUUAUUUGGAAACUCUCAAACAUCCUAGCAUAACAUCCAUCAACAAUGUGUCCCAUUUUAGUGCAAUAAAUACAAUGAAGUUUCAAUUUAGAAAGAGUUUUCUUAGGGAGCACUCCUUCACAAGGCUUAACAAAAAUUGUUUUACUACUACUUGGAGUGGUAGUUUCAUCAACUAAACCUAUACCUCUUUUGUCAAAUGAUUUUCUCCCUGAAUUGAUCAAAUCACUUAGUCAUUUAAAGCUAGGGUGUGACUCUUCUUUCCUAAGACUCAACUUAUUCUUAAACACUUGAUUUUUACUCUUCAAUUCAUCACACAUUAUCUUUAUGUCAGAGUGUUUAUUCUCAAGAAACGCAAUCUUAUCAAGCAAAGACUUCUUUUCUCCCUUUAGAGUCUUAACUUCAUUGGUUAAACUCCUUUUAGAAGCCUUCCACUCAACUUAUUCUUGUUUGAGACUUAAGCACUCUUUGUACAAAGUCUCAUAUGUAGAGUCAAAACUCAUCUCAUCACCAUCGGAGUCACUUGACUCACAAGACUCACUAAGAACCGUUUUCUUGAGUGGUUCCUCAAUGACACUUUCCAUAAAGGUUGUGAAAUCACUUGCAUUGGAUUCUUUUUCACUUGAUUGGCAUGAUUCCGUGUCACUCCAAGUGACUUGUAUGACUUUCUUUCCUUUUUUCUUUGAGAGACAUUCAAUAGCAUAGUGCCCCUUUCCCCCACACUUGAAGCACUCAACCUCAAGGUCCUUUUUUACACUCGUCUUUCUUUUUGUCUUGUACAUUUGAUUUUCCCAUUGAAUUGUUCCAUUUUUUUAGCAUCUUCCUUGGACUUCUUCUUAUAUUUCCUGAACUUCAUGUAUUUUUUGAAUUUGCCAGCAAAUCUAGCAACUUUUCCAUCCGACAUUUUCUCAUCACCCUCACCUUUAGAACCUAAGGAAUCCUCUUUAAGGGCAUUCAAGGCAAUGCCCUUUGAUUUCCUAAGUGAUCCAAGAGUCAUCUCAAAGGUUUGGAGUGAACCAACAAGUUCAUCUACUUUCAAGGAAUCCACAUCCUUAGACUCUUCAAUGACGAUGAUAUUUGCUCUAAAUCUCUCCAGAAAAGAUCUUAAAAUUUUUCUAACCACUUUGGAGUUAAGGAUGGGCUCACCUAGAUUAAAGCUAGAAUUCAUCCAUCAGUUUUGCAUGAACCUCUCCAAAGUUCUCAUGAUUUUCCAUCCUAAUUGUCUCAAACUUAGAAGUCAACAUUUGAAGUUUAGACACUUUCACAGCAUUAGUUCCUUCAUGAGUCACUUGGAGGAUAUCCCAAGCCUCCUUAGCCAAAGUACAUGUAGCUAUCCUAUGGAAUUCAUCCAUGCUAAUGGCAUUAAAAAUGGAAUACAUGGCUCUAGCAUUGUUCUCACUAGCUUCAUUGUCACCUCUAUCCCAUUCCAACUUAGGCUUAAUAACAUUUGUUGGUCUAUCUUCUCUAUCCAACACCUUAGGUGGAGACCAACCAAAUUCAACAGCAUUCCAAACUUUUUCACUUUGCAUUUUGAGAAAAUAUUGCAUUCUCACUUUCCAAUAGAAAUCAUUUUCGCUGAUUAAGAAUGGUGGUCUCCCAAUGGAAGCUUUCUCUUGAUGAGGCUCCAUAUUUGAGAUUCAAUGACCGAAAAUGAUUUUUGCUUUAAAAACCUAUUUUGAUACCAAUUGAAAAGGUAAAUCUCAAUAGUGGAAUACACCUAGAGGGGGGAAUAGGCAUUUUCACCAAUUCAAAAAAAAAAAAAAAACCUCAACUCAAAUUAGCAAACUUCGAAAUUUUUUGAAUAUUUUUCUUCUCUUCACACAUUCUCAAAAAUAAAAAUUAUAAAUCACAUGCAUAUAUGCAACAACACUUCCCAACAAUAUUAAAAUGCAAUUCACAUGCACAUGAUCCAACACUCCCAAACUCAAAUCAACUUAAACUAAAUUCAGAUAAAAACAUUAAGAUCAAUAUACCUCAAAAUGUCAAUGAUCAACAAUCAGAAACAGCUUCAAAGAUGAUACAUAGCCAUUUUUUUUCAUCAUUCAAUCAAAAUAUUAGACAAUCAAAACUCUAAUAAAUUGCCAAAACUGAAAAAUGAUGCAAGGAAGAGAAAGAGAGACAAUGAGACAAUUGACAUCAGAUUUUAAUGUAGAAAACCUUCGAAGAGAUAAAAAAAACCAUAGGCUUACAACCGAUCAAAAACAUUCACUAUGAAGAAUAAAAAUUGAAUACAAGGUUUUACUUAGCUCAAGCUAACCAAUCCUUCCCGGACCACUUGACUAGUAUCUUUCACUUUUAACUUCUCACCUUCUUCUUCUGGAGCAUACUUGGAGCCACACCAAACUCGAUCUCAGCCUCUUCUUGAAUCCUUACAAGAAGAAAAUGGGUUUUUGCACAAAACCAAGAAAAUGAGAGAUGAAUGUUUCAGAAAUCAACCCAUAUUCAUUUUCAGAAAAUCCAAAAAAGAAAAAAAAUGAUUCUUGGAAAACUUAUGGGAUUUUCUUAGGAGGCAAACACCCUCAAAAUUAGGAAGAAGAAAAAACUCUUUCAUGACUGCUGCUCUCUCUCUCUUUCCAGAAAUAGGAAAAAGUUUGAUUUUAAAUGAGAAUGAAGAAUCGCUGAAAAUUGAUCUUAAAAACAAGUUAGUUGGAUUAAUCUGCCCCUACACUUGGAUCGAUCCAAAAAUAGGGGAACAAAAGCCUUUCAUAAAAAAAAAAACAUUUCUCCCAGCUUUCUUAACUCUUUUAAAGUUGAAAAAUAGGGUUGAUUCACAUUCAAUCACCACACAGUCGGCUACAUACCUCGGUCUCUUAGCAAAGUCUUAAUCUGCAAAGUCAAGUAGUUCAAAGAGGAAUUGGAAAACCAAGUUAGGGGACACUUAGGAAUUUUUUCCUGAAUUGCCAACCUAGCUAAACACUCACAUAAUUGUUGUUUCUUUAAGUGCUAAUUUUGUCCUACAUUUAGAACCAAACAUAUGGAACUCGACUUAUAUUUUGUUCAAGAAAAGAUCCUUGAGAAUUUCUUAUUAGUUUGGUAUGUGCCAAACCUCGAUCAGAUUGUUGAUAUCUUCACCAAACCAUUGUCUACUAUCUAUGUGGUGUCACCCACUAACCACACUCAACUUGAGGGGACUAUUGGAGAUAAUGCAAGAUUUGCUCCAUAACUAAAGAAAAAUUAGUUGUUGUCUAUUCUAGAAUAUUCAAUGCAGCAAAAUUGUCAGGGGAUUGCAACAUUCCCUAUGUCGGUUGUAUUGUAUAUUUAGUUUUUUAUUCUUUACCUAAAUAUGAGUAUGUAUCAUUAUCAAUAUAUAUAAAUAGUUAAGCCCCCACUUUUCCUCACUUUCCUCUUUUUUUCUUUCUUAACCCAAUAUUAAAGUCAACUCUAUUGAUUCUGAAUGAUCCAAACUUCAAUUGAAUGGUUAUUGAGUUUCAGAAUCGGCCAUUUUCUACUCUUUUUUCUCCCCAACAUACAUGUAUGUAUAUAAAUAUAUACAACUGAGUGAUAGUAUUUAACGCAUAAAUUAACACACAAAUUCAAGAUCAUUGAAUUCAACCCAUCUCAAAAAUUAAGAAUUGAUUACAUACCAUUUGAAGAACACGCAGCCAUGUUAAAUCGAGAUAUCCCCUUCAAUUUAUAAAUCUUAAAUUCUUGAUCUCUUCUUCUCCUUAUAAAACUUUAAUACACAUAAUUAUUUAUGUAAUUGAUGGAAGAGAGCUCACCCAACAAGAAGGGGUUCUGUAUAUUUCUUUUAUUGAUAGGAGAAGAGGGCCAAGAAUAAUCGUUCACAACCGUUCUGAACGUGUUAUUCAAAUAAUUGUUUUAUUCCUAUUAUUAUUAUUAUUAUUAUUUUUAAUUUACCCACUCCAUCAAAGGGUAAAUAUCCUUAUAACAAUUAUUAACUAUUUUAGGCAUUCUUUUAAUUGGCUAAAAACUUUUAUAAGUGGAUAAAAAAAUUAAAACACUAGGUUAGUGGGCCACCCACUUAAUUUUAUCAUGGAAAUAACAUUCUCCCACUUGGCCCACUAAACCGAUUAUGAAAACUAUAAUAUAUAUACUUUUAUAUAUAAAAAUAUAUACUGGAAAAUAAAUUUGACACGUGAUUACAAUUUCAAUAAACUUAUCCAAUACGUCCAAAAUCAUAUACCAUAAUACUGAAUCAGUUUAGAUCAUAAAUGCGAGUCAUGGCGGUCACAUAAGCAUAAUAUCAUGUUUCCUUCCAUGCACCACACAUCAAUAACCCUAACUAACCCAAUCCUUAAUGCCAAAUAGCCCCUGUAAUUUGUCUUGUCAGGACAAUUCUUGUUUAUCAAACAAUAAAACGUGCACCCAUAAUUGAAAACAAUAAUAAACAGAAACAAUCUUUAAUGCGCAAAUUGUCAAUUACAUAACCACCAUUCAUUAUCAUACAUAUUAUGGAUUACUCAAAAGGCCCAUCCUCAUAACAUGUUCCAAAUAUGCCUUUGGAGGUAAUCCUUUAGUUAAUGGAUCAGUAAUCAUAAGUGUGGUCCUAAUAUUUUCAAUUGACACUUGUUGUUUUUGGACUCUUUCUUUAACAACUAAAUACUUUAAAUCCAUGUGUUUCAAUCUACUAGAAAAUUUGUCACUCUUAGAGAAGAAAACAGUUGUGGUGUUAUCACAAUAUAUUCUCAAAGGUUUAGCAAUAGAGUCAACAACACCAAGCCCUGAGAUAAAAUUCUGCAACCAUAAAGCAUGACUUGAAGCUUCAAAACAAGCAACAAACUCGGCCUCCAUCGUAGAUGAAGUAGUAAUUGAUUAUUUUUCACUCUUCCACGAUAUUGCCCCAUUUGCCAACAUAAAGACAAAUCCUGAAGUUGACUUUAAGCUAUCGAGACAACCACCAUAAUCAGAAUCCGAGUAACCAACAAUCUCUAAUUGUUCUAAUCUUUUAUAUUUGAGCAUAUAAUCCUUUGUCCCUUGUAAGUACCUCACCACCUUCUUUGCAGUUUUCCAGUGUUUGAAUCCUGGAUCACUUUGGUAUCUUCCUAACAUGCCAACAGCAAAGCUGAUAUUUGGUCUUGUACAUGUUUGAGGUACAUCAAACUCCCCACAGCUGAUGCAUAAGGAAUUUUCUUCAUUUGCUCCAUUUCCAUGUUAUUCCUUGGGCACUGCAUUUUACUUAAUUUGUCACCUUUCAAUAUAGGUGCAAUACCCGAUGAACAUGACUGCAUAUUAAAUCUCUUUAAAACUCGAUCAAUAUAUCCUUUCUGAGAUAAACCUAGCACUCCUCGAGAUCGAUCCCUAAAGAUCUCAAUGCCAAUAACAUAGUUUGCCUCACCCAUAUCAACCAUAUGAAAGUUUUUAGAGAGAUGUUCCUUGGUUUCACGUAAUAAACCAAGAUCACUGCUAGCAAGCAAAAUAUCAUCCACAUAUAGUAUCAGAAAUAUAAACUUGUUCCCAUUAACUUUCAGAUAUAUACACUGAUCAACAAUGUUCUCUUUAAAUCCGAAAGAUGUAAUGGUAUUAUUGAACUUAAUAUACCAUUGUCUGGAAGCUUGUUUAAGAUCGUAAAUAGAUUUCUUUAAUUUGCAAACUAGGUGUUCAUUUCCUUUCUUUGCGAACCCUUCAGGUUGUUCCAUGUAGAUAUCUUCAUCCAAAUUCCCAUUUAAGAAUGCAGUUUUCACAUCCAUUUGAUGUAGCUCUAAAUCAAAAUGAGCUACAAGUGCCAUGAUGAUGCUAAGCGAAUCUUUCUUGGAAACUGGAGAAAAGGUAUCUCUGUAAUCAAUACCUUCCUUUUGAGUGAAACCUUUGGCCACAAGUCUGGCCUUAAAUCGUUCAAUAUUGCCUUUAGCAUCGCGCUUGGUCUUAAAGACCCAUUUACAACCGACGGGUUUACAACUAUUAGGCAAUUCGAUGAGAUCCUAGACACCGUUAUGGGCCAUAGAUUCAACUCUUCAUUCAUAGCUUCCAUCCAUUUACUAGAAUCAUCACUUUCCAUGGCUUGUGAAAACGAAACCAGAUCCUUCCUUAUCCCAAUAUCAAAGUCAGAUUCCUGUAGAUACACCACAUAAUCAUCUGAAAUGGCAGGUCUCCUUUCUCUUUGAGAUCUCCUCAAAUGUGGCGGUUGUGGUGGCUCUACAGCAUUUUCAAUGGCAAUAUUUUCUGGUGGUAAUGAACCAUCUCUAUUAUGUUGCUCAUGUUCCUCAACUUGUUAAACAGGUUGAGGGGCAAUAAUUUCUUGAGGUAAAAAGGGUGGUGGGAUAUCCACUUUUAUCUCCUCAAUAUCUACCUUUCUUGGUUCAUUACUCCCAUUGAUUUCACCAUUCUCUAAGAAUCUGGCAUUACUGGUUUCAACUAUUCUCACACUGUGGUUAGGACAGUAAAAUCUGUACCCUUUCGAUUUAUCCGGAUAGCCAAUGAAAUAUCCAAAUAUCGUUCUUAAAUCAAGCUUUUUCUCAUGUGGGUUGUAGAUUCUUGCCUCCGCUGGGCAACCCCAUAUAUGUAUAUGUCUCAAACUAGGUUUCCUACCAGUCCAUAACUCGAAAGGAGUUUUUGGAACUGCCUUACUAGGAACUCUGUUCAAGAUAUACAUUGCAGUUUUUAAGGCUUCACCCCACAAUGAAAUAGGUACAGAAGAGUAACUCAUCAUACUCCUAACCAUUUCCAUUAAUGUGCGAUUACGCCUUUCAGCAACACCAUUCUGCUGUGGCGUACCAGGCAUUGUGUACUAAGCACGAAUGCCACGCUUUUCAAGGAAUUUGACAAAAGGACCAGGAUUUUGUCCCCAUUCAUCAUAUCUGCCAUAAUAUUCACCACCUCAAUCUGAUCUCAUAAUUUUAAUCUUUUUAUCUAAUUGUCUCUCGACCUCUGUUAUGAACAUCUCGAAGAUGUUAAUGGCUUGAGACUUUUCAUGCAUUAGAUAAACAUAACCAUAACGAGAUAGAUCAUCUAUAAAGGUGAUCAAAUAUUUCUCUCCUAUAAAACAUGGAACAGAGAGUGGUCCACAAAUAUUCGUAUGAAUUAUCUCAAGAAGCUCAUUACUUCUUAUGGCACCUUUCUUUGUAUGUUUAGUUUGCUUUCUCUUUAUGCAAUCCACGCAUACAUGAAAAUCAGUGAAGCCAAGAUUUUGUAAAAUUCCUUCCUUCACUAAUCUCUCAAUUCUUUCCCUAGAGAUGAGCCCUAGUCUUCUGUGCCACAAGAUUGAAGAAUUUUCAUUAAUUAAGCCACGUUUUGAACCAACAUUUGAAUGCAGGGUUAUCAAAGCUUGUGCAAAUUCAUGAUUCAAGGAAAUUUUAUAUAAACCAUCAUAUAAAAUACCAGAACCAACUGAUUACUACUCAAAAAGUGCUCUUUGAUAGCUUGUAAUAAACUCUUUUAAACGCUUUUGAGUAGUAGUUAUUGCCUUUUAACCCAAUUAACAUGUUAAGGACCCUUGCAAUCAAUUCUAAUCAAAUUAUGUUAAGUUUUGGUGUUUUGAUAGCCUUUUGAUCACCAAAGCAAUCCGAGAUUGAGGAGAGUUAUAUGGAAUCUUGGGCAAAGCAAUUGGAAGCUCAGAAACAUGAAGAACCGAAGCUUUGAAGUCCUUUACCAUAAGUAAAUCCGGAAUGCAAGGAGAAGAAGUAAAGAGAAUCUGCCAUGAAGCAUAUUCUUGAUGACAGUCGUGUCAGCCACUUUUGGAGCACUUUCUAAAGUCCAAUUGAUGCAUGCUAUAUGUCAUUUCAAAGAUCAGGAAGUCAAAAAUCCAAUGCUUCAAACGGUGCGCAAUUUGGAGUUGAAACGAAGAAGUUACAGCCACUGCAAGCCAAUCACUCUAAGUUGAAGAAAGCAUUUUGCAAAAGUGUUGCGAAAUCACCCUUUUGUUGCGAAGUGAUUUCGCAACCUUUUUGUACAGUGUGGUGGAUUUCCUCCUGAAGUUGCCCGAUAUAUGCGACAAGUUGGAAGCUGAGAACCUCAAGAUGAAAGCCAACUUCGCAGCCCUGCGAGAAUAACCUUUUGCUGCGAAGUGAUUUCGCAGCCUUUUUUUGUAUGUCUGCGAAAUCUCGCAGACAUCAUUUUCUCUUGCGAAAUGGUCCUUAGUGCGUCCCGAUAUUUGCUACCGACAUUGGGAGAUAUUUUCCAUCAGAUUUUUGUUGUCUAAAUCCCAAAAUUCUCCUUGUAAGCCACCAAUUACAAGAUUCCUUAGCUUUUAAGUUAGCAAAAAGAGUAAAUAUCCAUGUAAUAAUUAGUUUUGUAUUAUGUUCAUAUAUAAAUGCCCCUUGAGAGCCUGUUCUCGGGGGGGAGACCUUUUGAAAAGUUUUGAAAAAGCAAGUAAAGUUCAGGUCCUUUGUUUUGCCUUAUCUUCUCACUUUGUAUUUUUUAUUUCUUACUAAGUUAUGCACUCUCUAAGGAAUUUUCCCCAGAGAAUGAGUAACUAAACCUUUAGUUCCUUGGAGCUAAGGUUGCCGGGGAAGGUUCCAAGUGCAAGAAUGCAAAGCUCUGUGGUUUCAGCCAUGAAUGAAGAAGAAGUGAAAUCCUUUAGUGAUUUCUAUGUUUUUAGUUAACUUAAAACACCUUAGAGUCACCUGGGCCAACACUUGGUAAGGCAAGUGAUCUCCAACCAUGGAGAUGCACUAGUUUACCCCUUGCGAGCCUCUGGGAGGUGACUUUAAGGUAGGAUUUUCUGGAAUUGCCAACACUUGGUAAGCUUUUGGACUCCAAGGAGACAUCCAUUAGUUAUCUCUUGCGAGCCUAAGAAAGGAAGUCCAAGGUUAAAGAUCACCUUGAAUGGUUAAGGCUUAGUGAGAGGUUUGAACCAUUGCAAGUUGCAUCAGUGAGAGAAUUAAAGUUGAAAUCUAAUUAAAGGAUGUAUCUGUACAACAUCGGUUAGAGAAUUGACUAUAUGUUGAAUCUCUAACGCGAGGAAAUGAACCAUCUGACCGGAGCUAUGUCUUUUGCAUGAGGAACCACCCCAGUGAACCUGACCCUCCAAGGAAUGUUUUUCUUCCUAAGUUAUUCCCAUUACUUGUUUUGUUAGUUAGUUUGAAUCUAAAUCUUUACCAAUCAAGGUUUGAGUUUUAUUUCUUAAGCUAACCUUGAAAUGAAACACUACCAAUUCACUUUGAAUUGAUAUCAUUUGUAAUUUGGAAACCCUUCCCAGUGAACGAUCCUAGAGCCGCUAUACUAUAGUAGCUUUUUCUUUGCUACCCUAGUAUAUGGUGUAAUAGGUUAUAAAUUUUGUUGAUUACUCCCUCAUCCAAGGAGCAGCAGCUGGACACAAAUCAGCUGAGACACCAAUUGGGCAUGAAUCAAACCAACUGUAACAGAAUUUAACAACAAACUUAAUUGUCCAGAACUGAAUAAAACAGAAUAUCCAGUAGCAUCUAAUUUGGACAAAGAAACUAAAUUCCUAGAAGUAGAAGGUACAUAAAAAGUGUUUAAAAGAUCCAUCCGAUGACCUGUCACUAAUAGUAAGCGAUAGGUACCAACAGCUACCUUCCCCAGGUCCACUUUUCUUAGGUGGAAACUUCUUUCCUUUUCUAAAUUUUCCUUUCUUCUUCGUGACUCCAUGAGUUACAGCAAGGGGAAGAUUAUGUCCUUCUUGUCUUAAUCUCACUUCCUCUUGUAUGCAUUUACUGGUGAGCUCAUUCAAGUUCCACUGAUCGCUGUUAGUAUUAUAGUGGAUCUUGAAUGGAGCAAACUGUGAUGGAAGUGAGUUAAGGACAAACUGUACCAAGAAGGACUCAUCCAUACUCAUGCCUAGUGCCUUAAGCUUUACAGCCUUUUCAGUCAUGUUUAAAAUAUGUUGUUGAAUACCUUUCUGACCAUCAUAUUUCAUGGUGGUCAAUUCAGCCAUCAAUGUGCCUGCAAGGGACUUAUCAGCGCAUUUGAAGCACUCCUCAACAUAUUUUAGAAAUUUCGAGGCAAACUCGGUUUGAGGGAGAGAGGUCUUGAUAUUAUUGGCAAUAGUCAUUCUCAUAAACAUCAAACUGAGUCUGUUUCAUUUUGCCCAGGCUUUUGAUUGUUCCACCUGCUCCGGAAUACUGUCAUCCGUAGCUUCAGGAGGUUUAUCAGUUAUUAAAGCCAGGUCAAGAUCCAACAAGCCCAAUGAGAAUUGAACCAUUUCAUACCAUUCAGAAAAGUUCGACCCAUCAAAAACAGUCAUUCCAGAUGCAAAAGAGUGUAAUGAAGUGGGAACUGUACAAAAUAUAACAAUGCUCACAAUAAGGCCUCAAGUAUAAAAUAAAAAACAAUGAACUUUUGAUAUCGUUAAAAUUCUCCUUUGGGUAAAUUUUAACAUAUCCAGUGUUCACUUGGAGGGAGCUUAAAAUACUUUACUAUUUUGUGUCAUUUAUAUGUUACAUUUGGGUAUCCAUUUUACCUUUCUAAGCAACACAAAAAUAAAAGCAUUAAUUAAUAAUUAGCAGAAAUUGACUCUCCUUUGGGUUAGUCUCAUUCUCCUAAUUAUAAAGAGAAUUAUUAAGAAUUUUACAAGUCUCCCUUUAUUCUUUUAUGCAAUUUAAUAAAUACAAGGCUCACUAAUUUAGGUUACUUUGGCAACUAUCUAAACUAGUUAACCUUACAUUUAUAAAUUGUCUUUAGAUAAAAUAUUCACAAGAUGAAAUUAACAGGUGACAGUAACAUAAAAGACUCUCUGGAUAUCAUUCAAAGGUUUUUCAAGGCCUAUAUUAAAUGUACUUGGAUACUCAUGUCAGAUGUGGUAUGUGUCCAGAUGUCAGAUAUGUCUAUGGUCCAAGUAAAGACUUGAGGAGUGGAUAAAUAGCCAAAAGCCUCUUAUCAUUCUCCUUUUAUGUCUAGGGUGAAUGACGUGUUUGUGAUAUAUGUACAGUAUAUUCAAAGCUCAACGAUUUUGAAACAUUCAUGUGAAUGAGAUAAUAUUUAGUAUCCUCUGAAACUUCAAUAAAAAGAUAGCACAUGCAUAUAAAGAAGGUUCACAUGACCAAUGAACCUAUGUUUCAAAUAUUAAAAUAGACAUAUAAUCCUUAUUACUAAGAUGUUAAAUCGGGGCUACUAUAACCGAGUCUAUAAUAAAUCACAAAUUCACAAAUUCCUGCAUCGACACCGGCUGCACCACACCAAGACAACCUUCCAACACCUGUAGCACUCCAAGCUUUGGAGCUGCCUUACAUCAAGGGGUAGGAAGAGCCUCAAGGGUGCCCUCCAGCUGCUGUGAAUGGCGCCUGAAUGGCGCUUCCAAGGGCGUCUCCUAGAAUGGUGGCUGAAGCCAGCCUUAAAUAGUGCUUGGUGUAGCACCUGAAUUGGCGCUUUUGGAGUGCACCUGACAUGACACCUGAAGCGCUCCUGGAACGGCGCUGCAAACGGCGCCUCCAAUGGCGCCUGAAGGAGGAAACAAAGCCUGCAAACGGCGCUGUUGCUCACCUUUUUCGACCACCGGACUGGCGCCAAAACGGCGCCCCUCACCAGCAUCGCUCUAGUCGACAUUGCAAGGAAGACACAGUGCCUUCCUUCUACGCGCCGAGGCUGGUCUUUAUUUUGUUUAAUUUUUUUUUGUUUUUUUUUUUUUUGGUGAGACGAAUUAAUCGAAGAUAAAAUCUCAAAAUUUAAUCUUUAUAAAACGAUGAUUCUGAAUAUUUGAAUUCAACCUUGCUCUGAUACCAAUUGAUAGUAUUUAACGCGGAAAUUAACACACAAAUUUAAGAUCAUUGAAUUCAACCCAUCUCAAAAAUUAAGAAUUGAUUACAUACCGUUUGAAGAACACGCAACCAUAUUAAAUCGAGAGAUCCCCUUCAAUUUAUAAAUCUUAAAUUCUUGAUCUCUUCUUCUCCUUAUCAAACUUUAAUACACGGAAUUAUUUUUGUAAUUGAUGGAAGAGAGCUCACCCAACAAGAAGGGGUUCUGUAUAUUUCUUUUAUUGAUAGAAGAAGAGAGCCAAGAAUAACCGUUCAAAACCGUUUUAAACGUGUUAUUCGAAUAACUGUUUUAUUCCUAUUAUUAUUAUUAUUAUUAUUUUUUAAUUUACCCACUCCAUCAAAGGGUAAAUAUACUUAUAACAGUUAUUAACUAUUUUGGGCAUUCUUUUAAUUGGCUAAAAACUUUUAAAAGUGGAUAAAAAAAUUAAAACACUAGGUUAGUGGGCCACCCACUUAAUUUUAUCGUGGAAAUAACACAGAGGAGAAUCCAAUUAUACCAUUUCUCUAAUUAAUUAACCGGCAGCUGAUAUAAAAACAAUGUUUGAUCAAUGCUGAGAAGUAAGCAAACUUCAUUUUUUGAUAAUAUUUUACUCCAUACAUACUUGAACUGAAAAACCUAACAUGAGGUAUUGUCAAAAUAACAUCGAUCUUAAUCUGGCGAUAAUAGAGAUCAAAAGCAUAUUAGGCAGACAUGCGCUAACAGAUGCAUGAAACUCAUGGGCUGCUAGGUAGAGGUGGUGGUGGUGGUGGAGAUAGUAAAUGUGGUGAUGAUUGCAGCAGCCCAACACGAGGUGGUGGCACAGAAAAUGAACCCGCCUUCCCAUGCAAAGGAGGAGGAGGAGGAGGACUCCCAACUUUAUCUGGGUAUACCUUCUUCUGCUCCAACAAUCGAUUUGAAACAGCGGCCACAAAAUCCGUAUCAGAAGCAGCUUCUAAGGGUCGUGCCAUCGCCACAUAGCUCUUACCUGUGUGACUGAUCUGCAACACCACACUAUGGAUUAAUAUAACUAAAAGCAAGAAAAGGGCAUUCAUUGCAGUCACUUUGCUAUGGCAUUAUGCUUGAUCUUAUGUAUAUAUUAUAUAGAUGGAGAGGUCAAUUAGUUGACUCAUUGCUCGAGAAAUAUCAGAUAUGUUAACAAACCCAAAUCGCACGUCUUUGAAUAAAUAGGACAAACUAGAAAUUUAAAGAAUUCUCACGCCACCGAUUUCCAAUAUUUGACGGCUUUCGACGACUUCAGUGUAGGAAUUUGAAAACAUAUUGUUUGAAGUAGACGUCAUUAAUUGGCCAUAUCAAAAUUGUGUGGUCUAAUAAUUCAUCGCAUGGUUCUUUCGAUGAACACGAAAGAGAUGGUGCACAAAAAUUCCAAGUCAAGCAAAGAAUUAAAUCGCAUGGACUUGGAUGAUACUGCUUCGAAGAAGAAAUUAAAGAGAUGAAAUUAUAUUUUCAUACGUUUCAAAUACUCAAGUCCAAAUAGUAGGAAGAAGAAGUUGCUGAAGAGUUUACAAUUUAUUAUUAUUUAUAUUUACUUAUACAAAAAUUUAUUCAUAAAUUUCUUUUGAUUUUAAUACUCUUUAUAUAUAAAAAAAAAAUAGAAAACUUCAAAAACAAUAUGUGGAAAUCAAAUAGUAAAUUUUCAUCUAAUUAAUUUGGUUGACUUAUAACUAAGGUUUGACUUAAUAAAUAUUAUUAUUAUUAUACAACUAAGCUCGGUGCUUAUUUGAUUUUUUCUGUUGCAAAUAAGAACUUUUGUGGAGUAAAAGAAAGAGGUUUGAUAUUUUGAUAGAAGAAAUACAAUCCAGAUAUAACAAGACCCUUGCUAUUUUCCCUAGAAAUUUUGGCUAUUGACCAGGAAGUAUAGAAUCAUAAUCCUAAUAGUUGAACUCUGAAUAUGGAACUGGAACCAGCUACUGAAUUACCAUAAUAUAUGAUAAAAGGACUUAAAGCUUAAUUUGCCAAGUCAAUAUAUAUAAAAACUCUUAUAUUGUUCUUACUCAAAUUAACUUUAAAUCAUUUACUUUUAAAAUUAGCUAUUAUUAACUCUAGUUAGUCAUAAUUCCCAUUUUAUUUUUUAUUUUUUUCUUUUUGAACUUCUUCAUAAGAAGAAACAUGAGACAUAAAUUUAGCAAUAUUCUUCUUGGAUUAUAUUCUUCCUGAAUUUGGAGAUACUUGAUUUAUUAGUUUGAAUUUGAUAACAACCAUGGUUAUAACUGGUUUUAAUUUCAGUAAGAAAUCUAAAAGAAAUCUACUGGUGGUGGUGAUGCAACAGGUUUAGGUGGUGCCGGGCGGGGAAUAUUCCAACCAAUGUAGCGGGAGGUCUGUGGAAGAGGCCUUCCUAUGAGAUUUCCAAGUCGAUCUGGGUAAGCCUUUAUUUUCUCAGAUGAUCAAUUUGAAGCAACUGAAACAAAGCCCACAUCGGAGAAGGCUCGGAUGGGUCGGGCCAUUGCAACAAAGCUCUUCCCUACUUGACUAGGUUGCAAUACCAUGGAAUAUUAGCAAAAGUAGAAGCAAGAAAGCAGAAGAAGAAUCCAUUUCUAUUGCAAUAUACUCGAUUAUAAAUUAUUACGUAGAGAUAGAGAUGUUUCACAUCGUAUAUGCUAUCUCUAUUUAAUCCAGGACCCAAGACUUCUAAAUGAAUAAGCGCCUUUCAUUCUUUUGGAAUUUGUCAAAACAAAUGGGACAAACUAAAAAAGGAUUCCAGACCACCAACCUUCUGGACCCGAUUUUUUAUUGACUUUUGCUCACAUAUACAGAUGAUGUCAUUUUCUAGCAUGAAGAAAUUAACCGAACUCCAUUAAUUCUGAUAUAUAAAGUACAUUGCACAUGUAUAUCUCUUCCUGGAAGCAGCAUGACCAGGAUGCAUGGGUGAUACUUAAAAGUCUUAAAUAAAAUUUCCAAGUCACUGAAUUGAAAAUAGAUGUAGCUUAUGACAGCUGUGAAGAAGAAUUAGGGCAUACACUCAAAAGUCAAAUAAACCAGUAAAAAAAGGAAGAUGAAGCUUCCUAUCAAGAGUAAGGUUAUGUUUGGUCCAAGCAAGGAAAAAAACAAUUGUUCAAUAAAAUUAUUUUUUCAAUUUGGUUAUAUGAAAAUUUUCAAAAAAAAAACCAAAUAUAAUUCAAAUUAAUUAAAAACUUAUACAUUUUUAAAUUACUUAAUCUUUAUAUUGAUGAGUUAAAAUAAAUAUAAUAAGUUUGAGUUAGUAAAUAAAAGUAAUUUAUCGACUUCAAUUUUAUUUUUUAUUUUUAUUCAUAUUUUUGCUAUCUAUAUUUUUUUUCUUGCAUUUUCUCUCAAAUUUUUCGGGAAGCAAACAUAGCCUAAGAAUUUAUUCAUGAAAUUUUUUUUAAAUACUUAAUUCGUUUUUACAUCAUUUCAGAGGGUUAACAUAUAAAAGCAAACUAUAUUUUAUAAAAUUCAGUAGUUGAGGUUCAACAUGUAAUAUGGUUUUAUAAUGCUCUUUUUUUCAAUGUAUAUUUUAUGAUAUUAGAGUAGUGGCAUUGGUAACUAAUUAUUAAAAGAUACUUCGCAAGAAAUGAGCCAAAUACUCAACACAAAGUAGUCAACAAUAUUAAUUACUUCAGCAACCUUGAUGUAAGGGAAUCCAGCACAUUACAAGGAUUAUUGAAUUUUUCAAUUUUCAAAAUAUAUUUUUUGGAGAAGAAACAAAUAAUGAUAUUUAAUUAUAAGAUCAAUGAUUAUUUGUAACGAAUUUGUUAUUUAGUAGUAGGAUGGAUUUACUGCUGGUUGUGGGUGAGUAUUGAGAUAUUUAAUUCAACAUUCUAUAUAUAUAUGUCACAGUUGCUACAAAUUUUCUAUAAUAGUAAUAAAGCAGAAAUUUUAUUAUUUUUUUAACUUUUUAUUGAAAGUAAUUCUCUCAAAUUUCAAAUUAUUUCUUUUUUCUUUUUUUUUUUAAUUUAUUACUUAUUUCUUAAAUUUUUUUUAUUGAACAGAAAAUAUCAAAAUAUUUGGCUUUUUUUAAUGCUAUAAAUAACACUUGUGCUUUGUUUAUGUUUUUUUUACAAUUUAAUACUUAAUAAAAAUAAAAUAUUAAAAAAAUAAACAAUUUAAUAUUUAAUACUAUUAAACAUUAUUUAGCUUAAAUUCUAUUUAGAAUUAAGUAAAGAAAAACAAACACGGUCUAAGUCUUUUUAUAUUGACAUUUUAGUUAAACUCAAGUGCAAAAAGUGGCUUAUAGCAUAAUGAGUACUUCUUUGAUUGUGUUAAUCACCAAAAAUGUCAAGGUGGAUUUACUCCUUAUAGAUUGCAUAGAACACUUAAUUUUUCCUUUUAUAAAAAGAAGCAAGUAUAAUCUUAAGAAAUUGCAUCAAUGCAAAAAAACAGAUUGGAACUCUAAAAGACUUGUUGCUUUUAUCUCCUUGAUUGCAAGUUCAUUUACAUAUCUUUAGCCUGUGGACACCUUUAGAGCUAAGGAAAUCCUUGGAUUUAUGUCUUGUUACCGUGUGACCAUGAUAUUUUAUUAAUCGUUGUACACGGUGGAUCACAAUGCGUUAAUUGAGCCAUAUUUUGUAAGUAUGGUUUUUUACUUAAGUUAUAAUCACUUUUAGAUUACACUUGAUUCCUUAAUAAAAAGUAAAAUUUAUCUCCUGUUGGCAUUAUUUUGUGAUAUCCAUUAAAGAACUUAUGAGAAAAUAUAUUAUUUAGCAUUUCAUGUUUAAUACAUAAAUCUUUUAUGCUUAGAGAAGACAAUGGGACAGUGUUUUUUUUUUUUUUUUUUUUUUUUUUUUUUUUUUGUGCCCACCCUACCCCAACCCUAAUGGUAUAAGUUUAAAAUUUAAAUAAAUGGGUUUUGGACGGGUUUGAGAUUUUUUUAAAAACUCAAGACGGAUUCGAGACAGGUUUGAGUAUUGUCUUGUUCUACCCCAUUCCACCCGAUUAUAUAUAAAAUUUAAUUUUUAAAGUAAUUUAAUUUAAUUUUUAUUUUCCUACUUUUAAUAUAUAUAUAUAUAUAAUAACAAAAUACUUUUAUAAUAGGUUUUAAUAUUUUAAUUAUUUAUAAAAUAUAUUUAUUUUAAUGUAAUUAAAAAAAUAUUUAAAUUUAAAAAAAAAAAAGUUAAAGAGGACAAGGCAUGUCGGGUAUGGGAAUUUCUCAUACCCACCCCACUCUAUUUAAUUUUUUUUAAUGGGACGGGGAUGGGAAAUAUUUUAACCCAUUCCAAAUCCGUCUCGUUGUCAUCUCUAUUUAUGCUCAUUUGAAUUUAAAGUAAAAUGGAAAAAAAAUAAAAAGAAAAUAUAAGUAAAUAAAAAUUCAAGAGAAAAAAAAAUACAUCUAAACUUCUUGAAUCCUUUUUAUGUUUUUUUUUAAUAAUUUUAUUAUGUUUAUUUUCCCUUCUUAAUUUUCGAGUUAAGCCAAAUCGAAUAAUUUGAAUUUUUACACAAUUCCUUUUUAUAAUUUUUGCUAUGAUCCAAUCGGAGGAGUCUUAGAGAUCCAAAUUUCUCAUGAUUCAAUAACAACAAUGGGUCUCCCAUCUUCAACAACACUAGAAAGGCAACCAACCUUGAUCCUUUGUAGUAGUGGUCACCAUCCUAGAUUUGCUCAUUGACAAUAGCCGGUUCUCGAACGUAGGGACCACAAAUCAUGUGACCAAUGAUUUGAGCAAUCUGAAUCUUAGGUCUGAGUAUCAAGACACAAACAACGUUUACAUGGGUAAUGGUGUAGGUUUGGCAAAAUGGUAGGAAGAUGAAGCUGCAAAGAGUUUAUGUUUAAUUAUAAUUAUUUAUAUUUGAUUAUACAAGAAUAUAUUCAUCAAACAAAUUUUCUUUUGAUUUUUAUACACUUUAUAUAUAAUUUUAAAGGAUUUAUGCUGAUAAAAUAUGAGAUUAAUUCAAUGGUUCAACUGAUCCAAACAAAGCAAAUUUUGGUGCAAUUAGUGCAAUUGAAAAUUUCUUAAGCAAUAAAUGGAAAUCAAAUUAAUAGUAAAUUUCAUCAUCUAAUUGAUUUGGUUGACCUGCAACUAAGGUUUGAUUUAAUGAAUAUAUAUUAUUAUUGUACAAAUAAGCUCUGUGCUUAUUUGAUUUUUCUGAUGCAAAAAGAACUUUUGUAGAGAAAAAGAAAAUUGAGUGAUAGUUUGAUAGAAGAACAGUCCAUAUGUUAUAGGACACUUGCUAUUUACCCUUGAAAUUUAUAUAUAUAUGCAUUCCCCCAUUGAAUGUUCGUUUCUUUGAUGAUCAUCUAAGUAGUUGAUAUCAGUCAAAUAUUUUAUAAAAACACUUGUAUUGUUCUUGCUCAAAUUAACUUUAAAUUAUUUACUUUAAAAUGAAUUAUUAUUAGUGUUAAGUAGCCAUAAUUCUUUUUUUUUCUUUUUCUUUUUUCUUUUUUAUCUUCUUCAUAAAAAUUAAGAAACAUGGCUCAUAAACUCUCAAAACUCAAUUUUGUUAAUUUUUAAUAUUCUUCUUGGAUUAUCUUUUUCUAAGAUUUAGAGAUAUUUGAUUUAUUAUUUGUAUUUGAUGAUGCCAAGGGUUUUUAUCUUUUUUAAUAAUUUGAUUUUAAUUUCAAUAGGAAUCCUUUAUCUAGAAAUGUAGGUUUUUUAAAAUGUGUUUGAGAGUGUUUUUAUUUAAAAUGUUUUUAGUUGAAAUGAUUUUAUAGAAGUGUUUUUUACAGAAUCACCUAUCAAGUGCUUCUUCAAAAAGCACUAUAAGUAAUUUUUUUAACUUUUUAAUCACAAUAGGCUAGAGUUCUUCUCUCGUUGUGGUUGUUGCAUUGCCUCUAAUGUAUUCCUCCUUAUACAUAUUGGGUCUCUUAAGAUGAAAAGCAAUAAAGAUACAACCUAUUCGCAAACUCCCUAUACAGACUUCCCUCCAUGGUGGAAUAUCAUGAGGCUUGACCAAGGAGUUUAUGUGAUUCCCUUUUGUCAUGCAUGGGUGACACUUCACUAUUUGCAUAAAAAAUCAUUAGGUCAUCUCUACAUAUGUUGAAUCUUUUGUGGUAUUUCAUGUUGAUAGAUCAAUGUUCUUCAAUGGUGCUAAGAAUUGCUAGGUUUGACAAUAUAUUAAUGGGUACAUUGUUUUCCCUCAUUAUUUGCUCAAUUUGGAAGUUAUCAAACCACUAGCUUCCAAUUUGGCUUAGGUUAGGUAUGCUUCCAUCCAUUCAUCUUUGGUUUCAUAUUGGGUUAAAACUUGGCAAACCAUGAAUUUAUAAUCAGGAUAGACUUGAAACACUUACGAGCUCUAAGUAGGUGCAUGGUUUCUAACUUAUAAAGAAGGGCCUUAUAUUUAGCUUCAUUAUUGGAUGCUUUGAAACCUCAUGCAAUACUUUUUUCAAUGAUUCCAUAAAUGAAUCCAAUGUUUGCACCCUUCUAACUAGAGGUUUUAUCCGCAUAUAGGAUUAUAUGGAGGUUGUAUACAAUAGAUAGCAAGUCAUAGGCCCAAGUACUUAGUGUCUCAUUUUUAUUUACAUGGGGAUGAAUAGGAGUGUAGUUGACUCAAUGUAGUGGGAUAUUGAGUCAACUUCAAAAUUGGAUUCUAAAGGGGUCAAGACUGUCCUAUGGGUUCUAAUGGUCCUCAUUUGAGCUCAUAUAUCUUGUUGGGACUGUUUAUGAAGGUUGGAUUGACUCUUGGUUCAUUUAUGUACAUAAGGAUGUUUUGGUAAUUUCGCAAGGUUGCAUAAGAGUUAGUGAACGACAUUUUUAGAUUGGCCUAAUUGAUUAAUUAGACAACCUUAUUGGGUUAAUUAAUCAAUUAUAAUCCUUUUUGAGCUAGAUCAAGUGACCUAAGCCUAUGGUGGGCUCAAGUCACUUAAGCCUAGUAAGAAUUUUAUAAAUAGCCCCUUAAGGGUUAAGGUUUCAAGUUUUUUCUUCUGUUCAUUCUUUGAAUUUCAAAUAAGGAUUCCUAGUCUCUACCCUCCAAACUUUCACCAUUUGAAUGCCAAGCUUCAAGGUUGAGUCAUCCGGUGGAAGGACGUGGGUCUACGAGACUUCCAACGACUUCGUUUUGUUCUUCACCAAAAGAAAACAGUUUGGGAAUUCCAUAUCAAUUGUAAGCACACUAAACUUUUUUUCAAAAUCCUAGAAAAAAAUUUUGAUGCAUGUAUUCCAAUAUGCAUAGGAUUUAGAAAAGCCUAGGGAGUUUUACAUGUAUCUAACCUAAUCCUAAGACAAGAAACGGAACAAUCCAAAAUUCUCUUUAAGAUGUUGGAAUGCAAUUAACUCUCUACGGUAGAAUGUUAAAUCAACUUCAAAAUUAGAUUUUGAAUGAGCUUCUAUAUCUUUUAUGGUUCCCAAUAGUUCCUACUAGAGCUCACACUCCUUGAUGGCAUAUUGAGGGAUAUUUGGGUUUCAAUUCAUAUGUGUGCAUCAGAGUAUUUCAAUAAAAAUGUAAGGUUGCACAAGGGCUUAUAAAUUGUCUUUCUACAAUAGGUUAAUUAAUUAAUUGUAGCCUAAUAGGACUAAUUAAUUAAUUACAACCCAGUGAGUUAAAAUAAGCAAUGCAAGCCCGAGAUAGGCUCAAAUCACUGAAACUUACAAGGAGUCUAUAUAAACACUCUUAAGAUUUAGAGUUAGAUAGUCUAGCUUAUUACUGUCUUCUAAAGAGAACCCUAGCCCUUAUCCCUCUAGAGAAAAGUUCUCCCUUCUCCAUUGCUAAGAUCCAAGGAAGAACCAUCAAUUGAAAGAUCUUUAUGUCUUUGAGAUAGUUCUUCAUUGAUUGGAAUAGACGUGGAAACAUCCAAAUCUUAGCUAUGUGAUCUUUAUUGUUUUUUAUAACCUUUAAUAAAGUUUUAAGGGCCUAUCUAUUAAUUUAUACUGCACUUAGGAUCUUAGUUGCAUGCACCCUUAAGAGAUCCAAGGCUUGGAUUAGAUUUAUCCAAGAAUCCAACCAGUAGGCUUUUCCUAUUGUUUUGCAGCUUUUUGCCACAUACUUCCAAAGGUGGUUGGAGGUAUCUAUUUAGCGACAAUUGUUAGAUAAUGACUACUUUAGAGGUCAUCAUCGUAUGUCAAGGCCCUCAUUUUUGGGUUGGGUGAUUUUUUGGACCUUCAAUCCUUGUACCAUCAUUUUGUAUCAUCAACUAGAGCUGGCUAGUUCUCUUUUUCUAGCCUCUGAAUCAAGCUCUUUCACUCCUAAAAUCCUCCAUUCCUUCUUUUUGACCAAUUCCUAAUAUAAUCAGACUAAAUCUCAUGUUCAUGGUAUUGCUCACCCUAUGAUUACUCAAUCCAAGAAAUUGUUAUUUAAGCCUAAGGUCUACUUGACUAUUAAUUUUACCAUUGUGGAGCCUAGCACUAUGCAAGAAGCUUUACAAAUUCAUCAUUAGAUGGAACCUAUGGAAUAAGGGUAUACUGCCUUAAUUAAAAAUAAGAUCUAAUCUCCAAUUCAAAAGUUAAUUGAUAGAAGAAUAGUUUGUUGCAAAUGGGUAUUCAAAAUCAAAAGGAAUCCUAAUGAGACUAUACAACAGUACAAGUCACAAUUGAUGGCUAAAAGAUAUUAGUAAUCUCCUGGUUUUAAUUUCAUUGAGACCUUCGGUCCAAUGGUUAAACUGACAACAAUUCAUGUGGUGCUAAUAACUUUAGAUAGAAAUUGGGAGAUCAAACAAUUGGAUAUAAAUAAUGCACUCUUGAAUGGGAUCCCCCAAGAACUGUAUUUUUGGAUCAAUCUCUUAGGUUUGAACAACAUGAUCAAUACGAACUUCUAGUACACAAGCUACAUAGUACUAUAUGGCUUGAAACAAGUCUCACAAGUUUGGUUUGACAAUCUUAGAUCAUCACUGUAGAACUAAAUCUUAUCUCCUCGAGUUUUCUUUUCAUUCUAUUAUUGUCCUCUUGAAUAAAAACUGCUCUCUUAAGGAUCUUGGAUCCCUUAACUACUUAGAAAUUAAGGUAAAGAAAACAGAAAUUGGAAGUUUACUUCUUUCUCGAGAAAAAAAUAUAACAGAACUCCUACAUAAAGCUCAUAUGGACAUAGAGCAUUUUCCACUUCAAUGAUGCGAACUCUACAGAUUGCUUAUGAUGAUGACUCUAUGAAGAAUCCAACACUACUUAUAGAAGCCAAGAGGAUGCAUGUAGUAUGUAACUAUUACCAAACGCGAGAUUGCCUAAUGUAAACAAGGUAUCUUAAUAUAUGCAACACCCUUCAUAUUGUCAUUGGAAGUCUGUAAAGAGCAUCCUAGGUAUCUGAAAGCGACUAUUGAUUUUGGAAUUCAUUGGCAUCAGAUCCACAUAAUAGAAAAUCUAAUCUGGAUUUUGUAUCUUUCUUAGCAACAAUCCUAUCACCUGGAGCUCAAAGAAGGAAACUACAAUCUCAAGAUCAAGCACUAAGGCUGGAUAUAGAUGUCUAGCUAAUUCUACAGAAAAAAUAGUUUGGCUUCAAUCCUUUAUCAAAGAACUUAGCAUUCUACAAACCAAAGUUCCAAUUCUUUAGUGUGACAAUCUAAUUGUUGUUUCUUUAAGUGCUAAUUUUGUCUAACAUUUAGAACCCAAUGUAUGGAACUUGACUUAUAUUUUGUUCAAGAAAUUAAGAUCCUUGAGAAUUUCUUUUAUCAUAUUGUUGAUAUCUUCACCAAACCACGGUCUACUGCCUAUGUGGUGUCACCCACCAACCACACUCAACUUGAGGGGGCUAUUGGAGAUGAUGCAAGAAGAUAGAAAAGAUGAAACUGAAACUCUGCCCUCUUUGUUAGAGAAGCAAGAGAGAGAAAUUGAAUAUAUAUAUAUAUAUAUGUAUUGUUCAAACAACUCUAUUACAACAGAUGGAGACAGACUGUAAUACCAGCUAGUACAACUAAAAUACAGUUGGUAAAAUAACAAACGAAUAACAAUAAAGCUAACAAAUAACAAGUGGGCUUCAUCUCGUGAGAUCAAUAACUAACUCCUCUUUUCUUGGCUUAUCAUCCCCCCUCAAGUGAAAGGGUCUUAGAGCUAUACAAAGCUGAGAUUUGAGGGACAAGAACCUUGAACUUGUGAGAUGCUUAGUCAAUAAAUCUGUUGGCUGCUCUUUAGUGGGAACAAAGUGCAGUUGUAUCUUUCCUCUCAUGACUUGAUCUCAUAUAAAAUGAAGGUCUAUUUCUAUGUGUUUAGUUCUAGCAUGAAACACAAGGUUCUUUGCCAUAUGGUAAGCACUGAUAUUAUCAUACCAAAGUAGAGAUAUUGCAGAUAUUGGCACACAUAGCUAUUGCAGUAAGACUUGUAUCCAAACAAUCUCAAUCGUAGCGAAAACAAGGCCACGAUACUCAGACUCUACACUAUUGCAAGACACUACUUUUUGUUUGGUAGAGGACCAAGAGACUAAGUUACCUCCUAGAUAAACGAGAUAUCCACUUGAGUUGCCCCUAUCAUCAAGGUGAACACCCCAAUCUGCAUCUGUGAAUCCCUAUAUUGUCAAGUUACUUGAAGGACUUAACAGGAGCCCAUCUUGCAUUGUUCCUCUUAGAUACUGAAGUAUUCGUUUGACUGAGAGCCAGUGAGUUGUGGUUGGGUGUUACAUAAAUUGUCAUGCCUUAUUGACAACAAAGGCUAUAUCAGGUCUUGUCAAGGUAACAUACUGAAGUGCCUCUACUACACUUCGAUAAUGAGUAACAUCUGCCAUAGGAUCUCCAUCAAAUUUAGACAAGUUCUUCCCAACAGCACCAGGUGUUUUUACCGGUUUGGUAUCAAACAUUUCAGUUCUAUGAAGCAGAUCUGAAAUGUAUUUGGUUUGGCUCAAAUGCAUAGAGCCUUCAUUGUAAGAAACCUCUAUACCGAAAAAGAAUGAGAGUUAACCCAAGUCGCGUAAGGCAAAAACUAAAUCAAGUUUAGCUAUGAGAGAAUAAAUCUAUGUGGAGGAGCUACCUGUUUUGAUUAUAUCAUCAACAUAGACAAGAACUAUCAAAGUAGUGGCCUGACCAAAGUGUAGAAACAUAGAACUAUCAGUCCGAGACAUGUUGAAUCCCCACUGAAGAAGAGCAUAGCUGAGUCUUUGAAACCAAGCUCGUGGGACUUGUUUCAAGCCAUAUAAAGCCUUCUUCAAUCUACACACUCUAUUUGGGAAUUGAGUGUCGAAGUAUCCAGGAGGUUGAGACAUAUAGACUUGUUCUUCUAACUCACCAUUGAGGAAGGCAUUGUGAACAUCAAGCUGCCGAAUUUCCCACUUAAAACUGAGAGCAACAGUAAGUAUGAUGCGAAUAGUGGCAACCUUAACUACUGGACUAAAGGUCUCAAAAUAGUCCAGACUAUGAGUCUGAUUAUAUCCUUUUGCCACAAGCCUAGCUUUAUACCUCUCUCUACUCCCAUCUGGCUUAUGUUUCAGUUUAUACACCCACUUAUAGCCAAUCACAUUGACAUCGGGUGGUUGUUCAACAAGAUCCCAAGUAUGGUUUCGAUGAAGAAUAGCAAUCUCCAUUUCCAUAGCUUUAGUCCAGUUUGGAUCUUUGAAGGCCUGUUUAAGAGUAGAUGGUUCUGAAACCUUUAUGGUAGAGAGAUCAAGAAUGGUCUUUUUCUUGGUUAUACCACGCAUGGACCUUGUUGUCAUUCGUGGAGCAGGAGCAGUGACUUGAGGUUCUGGAACAGAUUCAGCUGGCAAAUCUGUAGUAGGAGAUUAACUAGAUGUGUCCAGAGGUGAAGAAGAGUCUAUAGGAAUAGGACUUUCACUUAUGGAUAGAGAAUGAGAAUCUAUGGAAGCAUGAUUGAUAUUUGAAUCUGGGAGAAGACAUGGAGUAGGAAAAUAAGUAGGAACUAUAAUGGCAGGGGUAGAGCCUUCUGUUGAAGUAUCAUUAGACAAAAUGGAAGACUUGGACUGAGCAAGUGGGAAAGUUGAUUCAUCAAAGACCAUGCGGGGAGUAAUAUAGACUCUUCCAGUUGCAUAAUCAAGACAUAAAAACCCCUUGUGAUUCAAACUAUAGCCAUGAAAAAGACAUUGGACAGAUCUGUACUGCAAUUUAUGAGUGUUGUAUGGCCGAAUGAAAGGAUCACAGAGGCAGCCAAACACACGAAGAGAUUUAUAAUCAGGAUGCCUUCUAAAAAGAGUGAAAGAAGGAGAAUCAUACUUGAGAACUUUGCUUGACAUUUGAUUGAUAAGAAAAGUUGUUGUCUGAAAAGCGUAGUGCCAGUACUUCAUUGGCAAGGAAGCAUGAGAUAACAAAGCUAACCCAGUCUCAACUACGUGUCUGUGCUUCCGCUCAACUCUACCAUUUUGAGCUGAGUUGUAUGGACAGGAGAAUCGAUGGGCAAUACCAACUGCUUGAAGAAAAGACAUAAAAGAUCGAAAUUCUCCACCAUUAUCAGACUGUAAGUACUUAAUUUUCAUGUCAAAUUGAUUCUCCAUUUGAAGCUUGAAUCGCUUAAAGAUGGGAAGGGCCUGAUCCUUUGUUUGUAAUGAAUAAAACCAAGUGUACCUGGAAUAAUCAUCUACAAAAAGAAUGAAAUAUUUCGCUCCAGAUGUAGAUUUAACUAAGGCAGGUCCCCAAAUACCCGUAUAAACAAGUUCUAAAGGUUUAGAUGCACGAAAAUUUGAGAGUUGAGUGGGUAGUCUAUGACUUUUAGCUAACUGACAAUCAAAACAAAUAGUAGAUUUAUAUUUCCCAGAAGCAACAUUACAAGUAUUCAUGACUUUUGAAACAAUGUCAGGAGCAACAUGGCAUAGUCUAUUAUGCCAUAACUCUACUUUAUUUUCAACAGUACUAGAAAAAUGGGAAUGAAAAGCAGAAGCAUUAUUAAUACUACUGCAAGGUUUCUUGUUGCUGAACACAGGAAACUUGUAAAGCCCAUUUUCAAGCUUACCUUGAGCAAGAACCAUCUUCGUAUGUCAAUCCUUCACAAAGAAAGCAUUAGAAUGAAACUCAAUCAAGGCAUUAUUAUCUGAGUAGAACUUAGCCACACUAAUCAAAUUAGUUGAGAUAAAGAGGACAUGAAACACAUUCUUGAGUUGAAAAGAAUGUGUAUGAGAAUGAAGUUGUUUAGAGCCAAUAUUGGAGAUGGAGAGAUGCUUACCAUUACCAAUAGUGACUCUAUCUGUUCAUGUGUAUGGUGAAGUACUGGUUAGAUUUCCCAAAUUCUGAGUCAGAUGGUGACUUGCUCCAGAAUCCAAAUACCAACUCUCAUCUGUAGGACUAUUAAAAGAAGAAGCAACCAUAGCAGGUAUAUUGUUUUGAUUCCCAUUAUUCAAAGAAUGAGAAGUAGUCGUCUGACCACCUUGAAAAGAGAUAUCAAACCUAUGAUAACAUAUCUGAGCAGUGUGGCCAAACUUACCACAUAACUGACAUUGAGGUUUCUCACUUGGACUGGAAUUUUUCCUUCCACCUUGUCCAUUUCUACCUCCACGUCCACAACCUCUGUAGGUGUAAUUAUUGUUAUUUGGAGCAUAGCCUUGUCCACGACCUCCAUUAAACUUCCUUCCACCACCUAUGUUAUUAGAGGAAGAGGCAUAAUUGGCAGACAUUUGUUCAAUAGAGCUUUGUUGCUCAAGAUGAUGCUCAAAGGCUAAUAGCGUACUAUGUAUAGCUUCAAAAGAGAUCUUAUCAUCUCUAAUGUUGAUAGCAGUAACAACGACAUUGUAGUCGGAUCCAAGACCUCUAAGAAGAUUCAUAACCUGAUCUUGUUUUGAGACAGGUUCUCCAAUAGCAACUAGAUUAUCAGCAGCUCCUUUGAUCUUCAUUAUGUAGUCUAUCAUUUACAUUGAUCCUUUCUUUGUGGAUUGUAAUUCGAGUCUGAGUUGCAUUAUCCUAGCUCCUGAAGAAGGUGAAAAAAAUACUUUCCAAGGCAUUCCUAGCAGAGUGAGAAGUAUUAUGGCCUAUGAUCUGUGCCAUGAUACUUGGUGUGAGCAACGAGUACAUCCAGCUGAGGAUUGUUCAAUCUUGUCUCCUCCAAGCAACAAAAGCUGGAUUGAUCACUCCUGGACUCGGAUCUUUCUCCGGACAGAUAGAGGUUCCAUCAAUGAAAUCCUCAAAGCCAUUAGCAAAAACAACAUUAUCAAUAUGAGAUCUCCACAGGAUGUAAUUCGUCCGAUCAAGUUUCACAGGCAGAGUGUGAUUAAGCAUCUGAUAAGAAGGAAUGGAUGCCAUUGUUGAGCUUUUUCCAGAUCCAAUCGAACCAGAGGAAGAAGAAGAUUGUGUUGAAGUAGAGGCCAUGUUUGGAUCGAGAGAAACAGAGAGAAAGUGAGAAAGAGAAGAAAAAUUCACACCUUGAACGUGAGCUCUGAUACCAAGACAGAAAAGAUGAACUAAAACUCUGCUCUCUUUGUUAGAGAAGCAAGAGAGAGAAAUUGAAUAUAUAUAUUGUUCAAAGAACUCUAUUACAAUAGAUGGAGACAGACUGUAAUACCAGCUGGUACAACUAAAUUAAUACAGUUGGUAAAAUAACAUACCAAUAACAAUAAAGCUAACAAAUAACAAGUGGGCUUCAUCUCAUGAGAUCAGUAACUAACUCCGCUUUUCUUGGCUUAUCACAAGAUUUGCUCCAUAACCGAAGAAAAAUUAGUCGUUGUCUAUUCUAGAAUAUUCAAUGCAGCAGAAUUGUAUAGGGAUUGCAACAUCAUAAAAACAAUGUUUGAUCAAUGCUGAGAAGUAAGCAAACUUCAUUUUUUGAUAAUAUUUUACUCCAUACAUACUUGAACUGAAAACCUAACAUGAGGUAUUGUCAAAAUAACAUCGAUCUUAAUCUGGCGAUAAUAAAGAUUAAAAGCAUAUGAGGCAGACAUGCGCUAACAGAUGCAUGAAACUCAUGGGCUGCUAGGUAGAGGUGGUGGUGGUGGUGGUGGAGAUAGUGAAUGUGGUGAUGAUUGCAGUAGCCCAACAUGAGGUGGUGAGGGAGGAGGCACAUAAAAUUGAUGCGGCUUCCCAGGCUGAGGAGGAGGCUUCCACAUGGGACUCCCAACUCGAUCUGGGUAUACCUUCAUUUGCUUCAACAAUCGAUUUGAAGCAGCGGGCACAAAAUCCAUAUCAGAAGCAGCUUCUAAGGGUCGUGCCAUCGCCACGUAGCUCUUACCUGUGUGACUGAUCUGCAACACCACACUAUGAAUUAAUAUAACUAAAAGCAAGAAAAGAGCAUUCAUUGCAGUCACUUUGCUAUGGCAUUAUGCUUGAUCUUAUGUAUAUAUUAUAUAGAUGGAGAGGUCAAUUAGUUGACUCAUUGCUCGAGAAAUAUCAGAUAUGUUACCAA
rnacentral:lncRNA from 1 species